GACGUAUUUGACACAAAAUACAACAUUUUAUUUCAUUAAUAAAUUCUCAAUGGCACAGUACAUAACCAAAUAUACAUAUACAGGAAUAAUCUUUAAAUAAUCUGCAGUUAUUUACGUCUCAGUUUACUCUGCAUUUAUGUUUUACAGACAUUGAAACAAGGUUUAAAAGCAAUAAAUUAUGUCAGUAUCAAACUAAAACUCCUGAGCAGUAGCAGCGCUACUCCACACACACUCUCUGCCCAAACUUUCCGGUACACACUCCGCUCUGGACAGGUAUACGCCAUGUGCUUUAAGCUCUCACUGCAGGUAAAGCGUACACCGUACACCGAUUUACUCACUCACAACCUACCGUCUGAAAACGUUUCAGUUUCUCACACGUCAGAAAGUGCUUUUUUGCUUGCUCGUUAUAGAAAUGAAAAUCAAACCACACAUUCACAAGUCACUUUUUUUUUUCUUUUCUUUUCUUUUCUUUCUUUUUUUUUUUUUUAAACAUAAACAUAAAGAAAGUUCCGGAGUGCUGGAGCUAUUAUUUUUUGGCAUAUGUACAAUUCAAGUCGAGGGAAGAUAAAUCUGAAUAAAAUAAGAUUUUCUUCUUUAUGAGAGUCUAGAGGGAAAAAAAAAAAAUAAGGCAUAAUAUCGAGGUGGGAUAUUUUCUUGGUAUUUUCCGAGCAGGAUAUUAGGCUUGAGCUCUGAAAAACACAUACACAGUCCUCCCUCACUCUCACACACUCUCUGUUAAAGGUUUAUGAUGAUAGCUAGCUAGCAUAGCAUACUAACAUUAAAUAUUAGCUAAUUUAGUCAUUGUUGGAUGACUAGCAUUAACCCCAACUAGUGUAGCGGUUAGCUAAUUGGAUCUUAGAAUUAUUAUGAAAAGACAUGGUUAGACGUUCUGCUGCUAUAUUGAAACUGUAUUCGCUUGUUUUAUUAGUUUAAAAAUCUCAGUUAGCUCUUAAUGUUGGUUAGCUAGCAUAAACAUGAGCAUCAUUUUAAAUAUUAGCUAGCUAACUAACAUUAACUGCUAGAUAAUUUAGCUAGAGUUAACCAACAUUAACCUCUGACUAGCGUAGCGAAUUCCUUGCCAGUUAGCUAAUUUAUCUACUGGUAGGUAGGGGGUCAUUCCUAUGUUUCCAGGAUCCUAUGUUCCCCAGUUCAAUAUUCUGUUAACACACAUCAAGUAAAGUUUUCCGAAAGGUUUUACGUACUCAGGACUCAUUUUUCUAGGGCCCUAUUCAAUUUAUGAAUAAACACCAAAGACAUACAAACCUAUCAAACCGACAAAAAUACACUACAGAGUGAAACUCGUAGUUCUUUCAGUCGUUUUAGCGCGCGCCGAUGUAUGACACGAUCGGAAAUAGUCGGAUUUAUCAUAAAACGUAAAGCUUCGGGUGUUAUCGUUGUUUAUAAGACGACCAGACCGAUAAAAUAUCAAACUUUUCUAACUAGGCUAGUUCGUGGUGUCACUAGCCAAGGGGAGGCACAGCGAAGCUAUCACUGUAUGGGUUGUGAAGUACGGUAUCUUUCCUGAUGCUCUGCUCAUAUCAUGUUCACGUGACCUGGAACUCGUGUAGACAUUUAUACACCGUGUUUUCCCGCUCAGCGUCAGACGAUCUUACAGUUUCAGUUUCAACACAUUUACUGGUUUAAUUUUUUUUUUUUUAAUCGCCGUAUAUCCAUUUUCCCUCACACUGACUGUGCGAGAUAGCGUUUGGCAGAAUUGAGAGCCGUGAGACGAUAAGACACGAGUGUUUCCACGUAUUUUCCUGUAAAACCUGUCUGAUCGGAUUUCUUUUACUGACGUUCGGUUACGUAGUGACCAACCGCUCCAAGUGGAAAAUUAUCCGGGGCUAAAGAAAACGUCUCCGGGGCAAAACGUGAUUUUAAAUUAUUUUUUACUUAAUAUUGUUUUCUUAGCAAUAAAUUUGUAACGCAAAUAAUGUAAUCGUAUUGACAUCAGUAACUGCGAUCAAAUGACGUACAAUUAAAACGUCAUGCGUUACAUUACUACGUUAUCAGGAGAACUUUGUGACUUUGUUACUUUGUAACACGUUACACUCAACUUUAUCCAUACAUGAACAAUAGUGAAAUGUUUACACUGAACUGAAGAAAUGCCAUACUGUCGCCUAUAAAACACAGUAAACGGUCAUAAAAUGAACUAAAUGUUAAGUAUGAACAGCUCACUCGCUUAUGCUGAAGCCUAACUCUAGCUUUACAUCACCAUGUGUUCACUAGUAACUCUGGGGAACAUAGGACCAUGAGAACAUGGAUACACUCCCACUGGUAGCUACCAUUAGCUAACUAAACAGCUGUAUCUCAGAACUAGAACGAUCAUAUUAGCUCCUUUUUCUAACUUAAAAAAAAAUCUCUGCUAGCGGUUAAACCCUGCUGAGAAAUCCCGAUUGGUCAGACCAGCUGGAAUUUUCAGCAAGGAUAUCAAUUAGCUAGCUAACAUAAGCUAGUAUAGCUGUUUUUAUCUAACUAACCAAUAGUACCACUUUGCUAACCUAGCUAAGGUUAGCUAGCUAACAAAAUAGGAAUUCCUUUAAGAAUCGUGUGCUUACUUUAUCUUCAGAAUGACGUAAGUUUACAAUAUAACGUAUAGACUUGAUAUUGAUAUUUUAUUUUAGUGGUAGAAAAAUAGCCACCUGGUUGACAUUUUACAAGAAAUGUCUUUUCUUGCAUCUUCUUUCACACUUAUGGUUGUUUAUUUAAAAAAUAAAAAAAAAAAGUUACAUGAUUAGAGCUACAGAACUAACGUAUUGAUGAUCCUGCUAUUUAAAUGUGAAGUUUUGUUAGAUAUUUGAAUUGUAUUCAGUUGUAUUUAGGUUGUAGUUGGGUGAAGUAAGCUUAUAGGUAUAUUGAACUGAGGUAAAAUUAAUCCCGCACGUCCACAAAGAUGGCAUGUUUCUAAUGGGACAGGACAUUUAGCUUAAGUUUUGAGGGAAUAUCGUUUGGACACGUUAUUGCACUGGCAGCUUUUGAAUGCUACAACCCCUGUUAAGCAAUUUCACCUAAAUCAGUGAGGCUGUCUUCAUUUAUCUACCUAACAACUGGGAGAACACUGCCGUUCAACCAACCAAAUUAGCAACCCAUUAGUGUUAUAUCGGCAAAUUAUGCUUAAAAAAACAACAACAACAAACAAAACUGCCCUAGUGUUUUUGGCUACUCAUAUUUUGUUAGUUAAAAAAAUGACCCAAGGAUAAUAUUUAAUGUAUAUUGUUAGAUUAAGUUUGCACUGGAUAGGUCUGAAUCAGUAAUAUGGCUAAUAUUCAGGAGUAUAUUGAAAUCUGUAUAAACAUAUGGACAAAGCACUGGUUCUGAACAUUUAAAUAACAUUUCACAGUGUCUUAUGUGUGUAUAUCUAUUACAAAGUAUUAGUCAUUGACUAAUAACGUUGGCUUGGUCACAGACAGGAACUGUAAAGUUACUAAUGCAUAAGCUAUAAGACAUUCAAGUUGAAAGUCAAUAAAGUAGCACGUUGAAAAAAAAAGUAUCUGUGGUGGUCGGGGAGAACUUAUCGCACGUUUGGAAAACAGCCCAGAAAAGACUGUAGAGAAAUAUCUAUGUUUUAUAACUGUCUUGUCUUGUGCACGUUCUGCCAAUUGCAUACUCGGGCUCCACUACUUCAAGAAACUAUACAUAUAUUUCACCAAAACAACCUUUUUAUUCACUUUUUAAAUUCCUGCAAAGAUCAUUUUUGGUAAGAAACCAGUAACAACAGUAAAUCUGCUUAAAGACAUCUUGCUAUCCAAGGGAAUGCCACUCUGAUCAGGUUCUUGGCUAGCUAGGUGCCGUCUCAAAAGGACAUGAGCCUAAUAAAUUCGUUUUGUGAUCAGAUAUCGGGCUGUUAAAAUGUUUGCGAGGCCAGAAUCUUUCAAAUGUUUUCAUUUUGGUGGUGAACCACAUUUUAAAAUGCUAGAAACGUACACGCGAUGGAAACAUAUUUCAGGAAAGGCUGUAGUUUUCAGAACUAUAUAUAGUAAAAUGUCAAAAAUUUCAAUCAUGUGAAUUUUCAUGGUUUUCCCAGGCCACCACACAUAGAGACUCUCAUACUCGGCCAGUAAGUAGCGUCUAUACACCACAGACGUUGCUUAAAUCAUUUUUUUUUUUUUUUUUUAGCUGUAUUUGCAUUAUGGCUUGCACUAGACUCAGCUGUAACUUUGCUGUAUUGUUGUGUCUGUUGUGUUUCAUCAUUACGUAUUACAUAGAAGUCAUCGCAGUUAACAUUGUUAAAACUAAAAAAAAAUAAUCAUUUGAAGCCACUUUCACCACAACGAACACAACACAUGUAUCACAUGCCUCUUCUCAAAUAUUGAUGUAUCAAAAAAAAUAAAUAAAUAAAUGGUGGCACUGAUUUGUUUUGUUAUUAUGCAAUUUUUUUUUUUUUUUUUUUGCACAUUAUCUGCUACCUGUGUGAUGUGAAGCAACUUUGACCACAAAAUGAACCUUUCACAGGUUUGAAACAGUCUCAUUUGUGGCCUUCUCUUCUGUUAAGACUUGCUUUGGCAUCUUGGCGUCGUCCGCUCUGUGUGUGUGAAUUUCUGUGUGUGUGUGUGUGUAUGUUUGUGUGCAGUUUAUAAAGGCGUGUGUUGGAGAGCAGUGAUGAAGGUGGUUGCGUUGCGUACAGCAGAUGGUCCCUUCUCGCUUUGACAGA
ensembl:lncRNA